rnacentral:tRNA from 1 species
GGCUUAUAGUUGAAACAUUGGUUGAAACGUACCGCUCAUAACGGUGAUAUUGUAGGUUCGAGCCCCCUACCA